UUCCUGCGGUGUUGGUUGCUGUCGUGGG
rnacentral:piRNA from 1 species